rnacentral:tRNA from 5 species
GGGGCUGUAGCUCAGAUGGAUAGAGCAAGCGCCUCCUAAGCGCUGUUAGCAACGGUUCAAGUCCGUUCAGUCCCG